AGAGAGAGAGAGAGAGAGAGAGAGAGAGAGAUGCCACUAUCUAUACCCAGAAAGGGCCAUGUCAUGACACUAGGGACAGGAAGACACACCUCCACAGGUAGGAGGAGGCUAGGGACAGGUAAGACACACCAUUCCCAGGCAGGAAGAGGCUACGGACAAGUCAGAGGAAGCUAGGGACAGGUAAGAAAGACAGGGACAAGUGGGAUACCUAAGCAAGGACACGUACUGGAAACAGAGAUGACCAGGUAAUGGUUUAUGUUUCACUUUAUGUUUCACUUAAGGUGGCCUGUCUGUGUUGCUGGGGGUUGGUGCUGCUGGAAUGGGUCUCCUCGCGGUCCUAGCGCUAACCUACAGGAGAAUGCAUGUCAAGUGGCCAUGGAAUUUAAAUCAGGAGAACACACCAGAACUCAAAUUAACAUACUGGAACAAUCGUGUGGCCAACGAGGCAGCAACAGAAGAAACCACAGCAGAACAUGGAGGGAAGGUGGAACCAAUCAUUGUAGAACCCUAGAGGAACAGAAAUACAGAACACAGGAUGGACUGGAAAUGUCUAUUUUCAAUUGUCUUUUGUUUUAAACCAGGGUUAUCUUCACGUCACACGACUUAGGCACUAGCUAUGUCACUUGCCGGCUACCAACACACAACCCCUACCACAAUGUCCUACCAAACUGAUUCAAGCCUAGUAGUCAAGUGAAUUUUCAAAGCCAAGUGGUUUGAUUUUACUUCUGUGAAUGUCAAAAAUGGAAGAAAAAAACCCUCAGCCCAGGAUGGGUGCGGAGUUAAACCAACUACAGGACAAAAAAAAUAAUUACAUUUCCAUGCAUGGCAUCUAACUCAAAACUUCACACAUAUUCCUUAAACAUCCCACACAUCUGUGACACACUGCAACACUGAAUAAUAAGAUGUACACUGUACAUAUAAACUAUAUUUAGUUAUAAAAUGUGAACAUCAUUGGAUUGUUUCAGUAGUCUGUUAUUAAGAUCUGGCUGGCCUACUUUAUAUUAAUCUCUGGCAACUGAUUCUGGUUUUAUCUAUUAAAAUAUAUUCCUAUUGAAUGGUCACUAAGAAAUGUACCAUUGCUCAUCAGACCUUAAUUUGUAAAAAAAAAAUAUAUAUCUGCAACCUGUUAUUUCUAUCCUUUAACUUGUGUUGGACCCGUAGAACCGUCAAAUUAAUCUCUGGACUUGCUGUUUAACUUGUGUUGGACCCCUAGAACCCUCAAAUUAAUCUCUGGACCUGCUGUUUAAUUUGUGUUGGACCCCCCUAGAACCGUCAAAUUAAUCUCUGGACUUGCUGUUUAACUUGUGUUGGACCCCUAGAACCCUCAAAUUAAUCUCUGGACCUGCUGUUUAAUUUGAGUUGGACCCCCUAGAACCCUCAAAUUAAUCUCUGGACCUGCUGUUUAAUUUGUGUUGGACCCCUAGAACCUUCAAAUUAAUCUCUGAACCUGCUGUUUAACUUGUGUUGGACCCCCUAGAACCCUCAAAUUAAUCUCUGGACCUGCUGUUUAAUUUGAGUUGGACCCCCUAGAACCCUCAAAUUAAUCUCUGGACCUGCUGUUUAAUUUGUGUUGGACCCCUAGAACCUUCAAAUUAAUCUCUGAACCUGCUGUUUAACUUGUGUUGGACCCCCUAGAACCCUCAAAUUAAUCUCUGGACCUGCUGUUUAAUUUGUGUUGGACCCCUAGUACCCUCAAAUUAAUCUCUGGACCUGCUGUUUAAUUUGUGUUGGACCCCUAGAACCCUCAAAUUAAUCUCUGGACCUGCUGUUUAAUUUGUGUUGGACCCCUAGAACCCUCAAAUUAAUCUCUGGACCUGCUGUUUAAUUUGUGUUGGACCCCUAGAACCCUCAAAUUAAUCUCUGGACCUGCUGUUUAAUUUGUGUUGGACCCCCUAGAACCCUCAAAUUAAUCUCUGGACCUGCUGUUUAAUUUGUGUUGGACCCCUAGAACCCUCAAAUUAAUCUCUGGACCUGCUGUUUAAUUUGUGUUGGACCCCUCUAGAACCCUCACAAUCAUCUCUGGACCUGCUAUUUUUCAUUCUCCCCCUCUAAUCAGGAACGUACCUAAACCUGGGCCACCAGGUGGGUGCAACUAAUUAUCAAGUAGAACAGAAAAUCGUCAUGCUCCGGACCUCGUAGGGUAGGAUUGAAUAUCCCAUUCCCUAGCACAUGGGUAGGCAACCAACCCCGUUCCUGGAGAGGCGCAGGUAUUGUCCUGCAGCAUUUUGUCCCAACUAGACACCUCGUCUGACCAACUGAGCUAAUUAAUCAGUCCAGUGAGCCCAAAUUCAAUACACCCGGUGUUCUUCCAGGUGGGUUAAAUGAAACACAUGAAGUGGCUGCAGCCCUCCAGGACCAGGGUUGUCUAGCCCUGCCCUAGCGUCUCUGUGCUCCCCUUUGCUCCUGUAACAACUAUAGUACUGCCACAGUAGUCUAUAAAAUAACACAUAUGCUGUUGAAAAGCGUUUAUUCCCCUAACAUUCCUCUCGGGUAGAAGUCUAUCUUGUGUAUGAAAUUGUUUGGUCAAUUGUUCUACUUGUAUGUUUAAUACCUAAACAUGGCAAAUAAAAAAAGAUAUUUAAUCAGUAUAC